AUGCAUGCAUAGCGCAUGAGAUUUUUUGGGAUAGAGGUCGAAAUUGGAGUGGAACUGUAACCUAAAAUAGAAUACAAAAUGCUUCUAUAUUUAGCAGAAUGGUUGGAUCGAAAAGAAAGCAAAAAGCUAGAAAAGCGAGGUAUUGGCUAAGACUGAAAAAGGGCAACUAUGGAUUGGGAAGGAAUGGAUAGUAUAGUCUGGAUGUGGAGGCAGCAUCAUAACCCAUUUUUAGAGGGGUGUAUUCUCAAUUUCAUCAAGCACCUACACAGCACUGCGUAUGACUUGCUUCAGGAGAUGAACUACAUCAAUUCUGCUCAGUUUUCUGCCAGAGGAAUCCAGCUCUACAAUGUUUUGGAGAAAGAUGGAUAUCUAAGUGAUUGUAGGAACAGGAAUCUUCUCUAUUGUUUACAUGCAGAAGCUUGUAUACAUUACGCUGAUCAAGAUACCUUUGGACUGCAGUUUCUUGACAUAGCUCUUCAGAGCUUAAGGAAAGUUUCUGAUGCCCUGCGUAAUAAGAAAAUCCUCCGACUCAUUGCAAAUUUGAAGAUUGAAUUGAUGAAAUACAGUGAAUCUUCCACCAGUGUUUCGCUUAGCAAAUUGAGGAGAUACAAUUCUGAAUUGUGCAAUCUGGAAAUAGACAAAAUGAAAUUUGUGGCCAGCUUCUUUGGUUUUGAAGAGCCAAGAGAACUUUUUGACAUACUCUGGAGAAUCCUUGGAUCUUCUGAAGAGGGCGCUGUUUCAUUAGUCCAACAACCUGAGAAUAAUGAAGUAGAGCCGGAAUGGAUUCCUAUAGAACAUAUACAGAUUGCCCAAAGACAGUCUUCAAGUAAACCACAUCAUAGUAAAAAGAAGAAGUCCCGCCGCGAUGGGAAAUCUAGACCAGGUCAUGCCUCACCUGAGUCUGUCCCGCAGCCCUCGGGUAAAAACAAGAAAGUUGUUACCAAUCAGAAGGGUCAGAUGUCAUCGGCAUGUACUUCCAGGUCAGGGCGAUUAUCUGGUAAGAAAUCCACUGAACUCUCCGGUGCAAGAAAUAUUGAUAGUCAUCAUGGACCAGCAUCUACCAAUGGCAGUGAGGUGACAUCACAUAGAGCAGGAUCUUUUGGACCUUCUGGAGGAGGGGUUCAUGGAUCAAAUCAAUGUCCUUCUACUGCAGAAGAUUGGAUCAAGAGCUAUAAACUCAGGCUCGCUUGUAAGAAAUGUUUCACCAAGGCAGCUCGCAGCCAUGGCUACAGCAGUUACAAGCUGAAUACAAAUCCAACCCAUUUUCCAAAGUGCACAAGAGACUACUUACUGUGUCAGUUGGCUAGGAAAUGUGAGGAUGGUCAACCAGCUGUGUAUGGUAUCAUACGCUCCUGUUCCAGUGAUGCCAAACCCAACCUCUGUGAAGACUUCCUGAAUAGGGAUCCAUGCAAGGAACUGGAUUGCUGCUAUUGUCACAGCAGGGAAGAACAAGAUAUCUGGAAAGCUGAAAGAGCAGGCAGGUUUCCAAGAGAUGAUGUGAUAGCUCUCUUGAAGUCUCUGGGACAUUGCUAUGAUGGAAAGUCUAACCGUGAGACUAAUACUCCUGCCAGAUCAAGAAGCAAAAGUCUUGCCUCACAAGACCAUAUGGACAUCAGGAGUUGGAGUAACAAUGGUGCAAAACCUCGAAGACAAAGUCAGGUAUCUCAUGAUUAUGGUGAUCCCAAGAUCGGGAGCAAUAGUGAAGUUAGAUCACAAAGUGGAAGUCUGCAGACAUCGCAUGUAGGAAAUUCCUCACUUCUGAAUGAAGAUGCCAAUACACCAUCUCUGCAGGAUGAAGGUGAUAGCAAAGAGAUGUAUGAGGUUGUAUCAACUCCGAUGCCUUUGAAGAAUCAAUUUGAAAUUCUUGUUAGUGAUGCUAACAGUGUCCAACAAAGAAGCAAUUUCAGAGUUUCCUCUCCAUGUUCUAAUCAGAGCAGAAGUGUUGACCGAAGUAACUUAAACAAAUCUGCUGGAUUGCCUGCUUGGCAAACUGCCAUACACGUACCAUCUUGUAUGGGAACAUCCAGUGCUUCUUCUGUUUGCAAUUCUCGUAGGUCAUUGCACAUUGAUGGCAACAACUCACAGACGUUUCCUAACAUUCCUGGACAAUCUAAAGUAAGGUCGGAUGAGGCAUUGCUGAAUGAACUCAAACAGAUUCGGGGAAAGUUCCUUAUAGUCUGUUCACAAUGUCUUGAAUGUAAACCUAUGAAGAUAAGCCCACCGCAUCAGAAUAAUCCUCAAGUCUGCUCCUACAAACAAAACCACUCCAUGAUCAACAGAAGCCUUAUUCAUCAGAUCGGGCAUGGAAGAUUCACCAAGAUUCGUAAGCGUCCUUUCAGGGUGAUGCAUAAGCCUAGGGCUGUGUGUCGUUACAUUGAUAGGCUGUAUGGAUGUGAGAGAGAAGAUUCUUGUCAGUUUGCUCACAGCCAGGCAGAGGCAGAGGUCUGGUGGUUAGAAGCAAGGCUUGGUAAACAUCGGGAUGAGAUUAUUGAUGCUUGCAUAGAACUAAAUCAACCAGCAGAAUACCUACUGUCUGGUUCACCACUGUCCAACCCUAAGGAUCUAAUGAACCCAUACCAAAACACAUGGGACAUCACUACCAAUAGUGACAAAGUAACCAGCAGCAGCAUUCAGAAGGAGCCGCCUCCUGUAUCUCGUGCGAUUGCUGUUGAAUCCUGUAGAACCAAAGUCCCCUUUUCCCAUGCUAUCAAGCGCGCUUGUGGUAGAUGCCUGCGAGUGAAUCCAUCCUCCAUUCAGCAACAAAACCCGAAGAGCCGUUCAUACUGCAGUGGGAGUGGGACUAACCGACACUACUGGAAAGCAAACAUUGUGUAUGUUGUAUGGUCCUCUAAAGACAAGCAAUGGGUUUGUGUCCAUCCCCGCCAUCCACGGCUGUGGCCAAACACCAAACUGAAUCUGUGUCGGUAUGGAAAAAAGUGUACUCAGGAAAGCGUAUUCAGAACAGCCUGCAUGCAUCCUCAUACACAAGAGGAACUUCAGUUGUGGGAGUACCAGAAACGACAUGAUAUCACCAAGCUUGAAGAAGUGGUUGGCUUGCAACAGCAAGCUGAGGCAGUAAGCACACCCAUCCCUAAACCAGAAGAGAAACCACAGCACAUUUGCUCUUUCUGCAAGUUUUCCUCUACGUCAAAGACAGAGUUUGAGAAUCAUCUUGUCACUGAUGCUCAUAAGGCAAAGAUCUUUUCUGAUUCUGAUCGUCUCUGGAAGGAACGAGAUCCCCCGAACCUGGUCCAAGAUGGUUGCUAUGAGAUGUGUAAAGAAAAUGCUACGAAGGAGUGUGAACACUCUGGGAGAACCAAGGAAGAAAAUGAGUGCAUCUAUGCACAUAGCAUGGACGAGUUGAUGGAAUGGAAAGCUAGGCACGAGUACCGUGUGAUGAAACUUAAAAAAGCCAGGGAGAUGAAGUUAUAUUCUUGGUUGGAUAAUCUAGUUGAGGAGAAAGUGUCUACUGAGGAUGUAGAAGAUGUGAUAACAGAGGAUAUAUUUGGGUUGGAAUUGAAUUGCCAAACUGCUGCAGAUGUUGUUCGAGAAUUGACCUCAUCCAAGGAUACUGGUGAAGUUGAUCCAAUCCAAUGGCAUGUGGAUCUCCAUUGUAGCAGUGAAAAAAAACUGAAGAGAGUAGGCCUCCUGUAUGAUGAACAUCGGUCUUACUUCCAUCUAUCUAAGCCUGAGAAUGAGUCUCACCCACAGACAUGUCCUGGUGGACUACUAAGAGUUCAUGAUUCUGAUCAUUACAAGCUUACUGUCAACUUCAUCCCAUCACAUUCUGGCCUUUUCAAGCAGUGGCUUGUCUUUGACUUUGGUGAUCGGCCAUGCCUUGCCUUGAAGCUCUCUGUGAACUUUGGCUCUCAAUGUGAAAUGAAAGAUUUUGAGUUUAAAGAGCAGACAAUCAACACAGCAGAUCUGUGGAAUGAGACCAACAGUAAGAUCAUCAAAUGUUCACAAACAGAUGAAUGGACUAAGAGGUUGGAACAGCAAUAUCCGACACCUGGCCUAAACAGAGAUCCAGCAAUGAUUGGAGAUGUACAAAGUCUUAGCCGGAGUACAUACAAACAAUUCAUGCAUGAUAUGCUUACAGAGGAAGAGAGAGCUUGUAUGGAGUUGGUGGCCAAGUACCGAACAGUUACCAAGAUAAAAGUAUCCCAGCAAGUUCAACUGGAAGAUUCCCUCAUAAGUGCCCCAGUAGGAGAACUGUUUGGGACUAUCUCCCUUGACAAGCCACUUCAUGACGAUUCAGAAACUUCCCGUCUUGUCCACGAGUUGGUUGAGACCGUCUUCAUCAAAUUUCACGAGCAGUCUGAAGAUGUGUACGAGGCUCCAAAGGUUCAGUUUGAGGAGGAUGUCAUUGUGGUAUCCCUAGGUCAAGCAUGUGUGAAGCAGCUUCAUUUGAAGGCUAAUAGAGAUGUUCCAGUGACCUUUCAAUGUUGCAUUAGUCGUCAGCGGUUUUUGCGGAUGCACCAUGCUGUUGACAGAGUGACAUGUAUGGACACUGUGCUACCCCAGGGACAGCAGCCCAAUAGGUUUCCAGAAGUAGAUGAGGAUGACUGCCAUGAGGGUCUGAACCUACGACAAGAGCAGGUGGUUCGUCUUAUCAAGUCAUUAGGAACUGCUGAAAAAGAAGCUACAUCUUACAGCGGUCCAACCAUGAUUCUUGGACCCUUCGGAACAGGAAAGACGCAUACGCUGGCCAAUGCAAUACAGAGAACGCUUACAGAGAGAAAAGAUGCAAAAUUUCUGAUAUGCACUCAUUCAAAUAGUGCUGCUGAUCUUUAUAUCAGAGAAUAUCUUCAUGAGUUUUGUGAAGAUAGAACUGAUAUCUGGAUGGUGAGGAUCUAUACAACGAUGCGGAAACUGAAUACCAUAAGUGAAACAGUGAAGAAGUACAUGCUUAUCAAUGCUGAAGGACCACGUUUGCCCACAGAAGAGGAAUGUCAAGAUUGGGUGUCCAGAAAAGGCCCUAGUAUAGUAGUGGUCACCCUGAGCACAGCAGUUUGCCUUACACUUACAGCAACCCUGCAUGGAUACUUCUCUCACAUUUUGAUAGACGAAGCUGGACAAGCCCUGGAGACGGAAGCUAUCAUUCCGCUUGCUCUAGCAACACAACAUACAAGUGUUGUACUUGCUGGUGAUCCCAAACAGAUGAGCCCAAAGGUGUAUUCUCCCCGUACCGCAGAUGCCAAGUUCAAUAUGUCUCUCCUGCAGCGUCUCUUCAAAUAUGACAAACAGAAUGAUUGUCAUGCAAGCUGUAAUCUGAUCAUCAACUAUCGCAGCUGCCAACCUAUCCUAGAUUUCCUAAAGGUGCACUACGGCACAGCUUUCAUGUCAAAGAGCACAAACAAGGAGCAUCCCAAUCUCUUCCCCCUUAACUUUGUAGAUGUGAGGGGAGAGGAUAGGCUUGUCAGGACGUCAUUCAUGAAUGCAGAAGAGGCAAAGAUCAUAUCAGAAUACGUCAAGUCAUUGAUGGAUCACUGGCCUGAUGAGUGGGGUAGAUGUAAACAGAGUGAUGUAGUGGUUCUAUCACCAUACAGAGUACAGGUGGUAUUAAUCCGACAGGAGAUGAGGAAGAAAGGCCUCCAUGCUGUGACAGUAGAGACAGUGCAGAAUGUACAAGGGAAGCAGUAUCGGGCCGUCUUCUUGAGCACAGUGAGAACAAGGUCCUCAUUGAAUAAGGUUGACAUCACAUCCCUUCCCCGUUUGGGUGGCCGCAAUGUGAGGAACAAGUUCUGGUACGGUUUCUUAUCGGACAAGGGACUACUGAACACAGCAUUCACUCGUGCACAGUCACUCAUAACUGUCAUGGGAGACCCUGUUGCCCUUUGCUCUGCAGGAGAAUGCCAGAAAACUUGGCAGAGAUAUAUCAAAACAUGUGAAAAGAAUGGUGGCAUCCAUAGUCUACAAGAUCUAACAAUGGCUUCUAUCCAGAAUGAAAUUGCUAGUGCCAAACAUCUGCUCAAUCCCGCUGCAAAGACGUUUGUUCCUCAAGCUUCAGCUCCCAGUGGAGCCUCCCAGAGAACAUCUACUGUUACUGGAAGAUCUGCAGUAAGUAGAGCAAUUGAAGUGCAAAGUUGCUUUCCAAGAUCUUCAAAUCAACAAAGAGAAAUGCUACCUUCAUUGGUAACUAGUGCUGCUGUAGAAAGUGAUGAUGAAGAUGAUGAAGAGGAAUUGCUUAUUGAUGAAUGGCUUCAGGAUCUGAAGAUAGAGGUGGAUGAAUAUAAAAGGUCACUUACAUUGACUGAAAACCAGAAGGAAGAUGCAUUAACACAAGGUUCUGAUGAUAGGGAUGCUGCCGGUGACCAAGGACUAACGCAGCCAGCCAUACAUGACCAGGAGCUUGAAGCUGGGGUAAGAUUGCAUACAGCAGAGCAAGAAGAAAGAACUCCAUCUGCAUCAAGAACUGCAUUGCAAAAUGUAGAAAUUCCUACACGUGAACAGCUACUACAGGACCUGCACAGGAUGGAGAGGGAAGACCGUGAUGUCUACCUUGAGGAUGAGUUAUAUGAUUCAGAUGAUGAUGAAUCAAAUCUUGCUGCCACAGGUCAAGCAAGGGAGACCAAUGUCGAUGAACUUCUUCGCAAGAAUGUUAAAAGCCCUGAUAAAUAUAAAAUCUCUAUCUUCCGCCAAGAUAUCAAUGGGCGUACUUAUGCUGUUCCUCUUGACAGACAGUCAGGAGAUGAAAUAGCCAUUACUAGUUUGAAACGUCGUGGACAUGCCCUUAACAAUGAUAAGGUGCUUGUAAAGGUCUUGGAAAACAGAGAAGAACAAGAAGUAGAAACUGAUGGUGAGGGUGGAUCGGAAAGGAAGAUUUAUGGAGAAAUUGAAGGCAUCAUUGAACAUAAAGCUAAUCUCCGGUUCCGAAAAUUUGUCUGCCACCUGGAUCCUUAUAGCGACAAUGUGAUGGUACCUCUUGACCGUUCAUCUCCCAAGAUGCUUAUACAAGGAAGGAAAAGAAACAGUAAAAACAAUAAUGUUGCUGUUGUUCCUCUGUUUGAGAUAACAAGAAGGAGUGCACAAACACGGAAACCAGGUAGCUCUAGAAGAGAUGUAGAAGUGAAGUUAUCAGAAAGGCGCCAGAAAUUAUUUGUUGUUCGCUAUCUGGAGUGGGCUGAGAGAGAUCCAUAUCCACUAGGAGUAGUUGUUGAAGAGUUAGAACCAGGAGAUACACAAGAAAAUGGGAUGAACAUCCUGCGACUCGUGUAUGGCAUCAAAGCAAAAUGCAAGCGAGCUGCAAGAGAUCAAAUGCAGCAAGAGUUCCCUGAAGGAUGGUGUCUUUCAGAGAAAGCUCUUCAGAAAAGGGAGGAUUUCCGUUCAACAAAGGUUAUCUUUACCAUUGAUCCUCCUGAUUCUACAGACUUGGAUGAUGCUAUCAGCUGUAUCCCUCUUCCUGGACAACGUUAUGAAGUUGGUGUACAUAUAGCAGAUGUGUCCUACUUCAUUCAACAAGACAGUCCUAUGGAUAAAGACGCCUACAGCAGGGCUACAUCAUUCUAUCAUCCAUUCCAAGGUGAUGCCUAUCAUAUGCUACCAAAGGCCAUAGUCACUAGGCUUCUAAGCUUACUUCCAAAUCAAGACAGGUUGGCAUUGUCUGUCAUUUUCACUCUUGAUCAUGAAGGACAGAUUGUUGCAGAGCCGGUGUUUACAAGAUCUGUAGUUCGAUCAUGUCAGAAGCUCACCUAUGAAGAGGCAGAGAAAUUGAUUGAUUGUAGUAGUGAUACACAAUCUAAUGAAUACAUGACUGUUGCUGAUCCUGUUAGGGUCUUAUAUGCGCUGUCAAGACACCGCAGAAUGCAGCGAUUAGGUGAUGGAUGGAUGGUGUACAAUGCAGAUGAUGAUGAUGGGGGUGCACUCUCUCAUCCAUUGGCACACAGCUUGAUAGAAGAACUUAUGCUGAUGACAAAUAAUGCUGUUGCUGAACAUGUUCUUUCCAGUUAUCCUGAUUGUGUUCCAUUGCGUAGACAACUUGCACCAUCGCAAGAUCAGGUUGAGGGAUGGAAAGAAAAUCAUGAGAAGACUGCAAGAAACAGCAUCCGUCUCCCUGAGCUUCUCAAUCAUAACCACAAUGGUGUUGAGAAUGAAGACCAAGGUACAGAAGACAGAGAGGAUGUUGUAGUUGCUGCUGAAGUGUUUGGAAUGGUCAAGCAAUUAUGUGAGUCACAAACGUCAAAAAGUCAUAUGGAGUCUAUUGCUAAUCUCAUUCUUCAGGACGAAAACCACCCUCUGCAUGCGGUGGCUCUGUCUAGCUGCUAUCAGAUCAUGGAAUCUGCAGAAUAUGUCGACUCAACAAGCCAAACCAAGCCAGAGAAGCGAGCACACUAUUCUCUGCAGAUGAGAGCAUACACUCACUUCACAUCACCGAUCAGACGUUUCAUUGACCUUGUUGUGCACAGGUUGCUUGUUGCUUCUAUGGAAAAUCGGCCAUGUCCGUACUCCCCCAGAGAAAUGGCCGACAUCACACAUCAUUGCAACUACCAGAAUGCCAAAAGUAAGCGAUUUGACAAAUCAACGCAAGAACUGAAGAUGGCAUUGAAGUUGAAAGAAGCUCCUCUCCAGGCUACAGCUUUUGUCGAAGGUAUUUCUGAAUCAUCUAUGAAAUUGCUUCUUCCAUAUCGGCGAUAUAUUCAAUCUAGACAAAGGGACAUCCCUUUUAAGUUACUGAAGCCUGCUGAGAAACCUGCUGUAGAAUCUACCAAUGCCCAAGUGGCAUGGAAAUGUCGCAUGUAUGACUACAGCACUAAAUGCCAAGCAGAAUCACCAGUUAGCACAAGAGUCCCAUACCUUGACCUGUCUUACACUAUCCCAGAAGAUAAAUGGCAGCAGAUCUUGCAUUCCAUUAAGUGUAUGUACAUCGAUGGAAACAUAGAGGGAGUCAAGACUGCCAUUGAGGCUGCAGUAAUCCAUGCCCAAGGCAGUGGUAACCCAUUCUCUAAGAGAAGAACCAAUCAGGAUGACGGUCCAGAGAAGAAAGAAAUGGGAAUUAUGAGUUUUCAACGAAACUAUCAAUUGGGUGAGCCCUGCAAGGUCCAGAUGCAUGCACACAUGAUGAAGGGUAUGCUCAGACCAAAGAUACAACUCUUCAACAUGACUUCUCAAUUGGAUGUAUGUGCAGAGCAUCGAGCACAACCCAUCGAGUGCUUCUCAAAAAUAGCUACCGAAAUUCCAGGCAGGGAGAAAAAUGUGAAAACGUACAGGUCAAAGUGGCUUUCAAUCCUGUCUAUGACCUCUUGCUACAGUGCUGUUAGCAACGAUGACACCGUUGUUUUACAGAAUGUUCCAGUCACAUGGCAUAGGGCUUCAAAUGAAGUCACAGGCCACAUUGAGCUAGAUAGGGAAUUCCUUGAAGUGAACCAUAUCCCAAUCUGGGAAACUAAUGAUGGAAUAACAAUAAACAAUUAUGAUUACCUCUGCCUACAUCUGACCAAUCUUGAAGUGGAAACUAAACCUCGUUUGAAAAUGAUGGAGUAUGAUAGAGAGAGACAAGAAUGUCGAGGACCAUUCAAUGCCAGUGACUGGAAGAAGCAAACAGGUGUUGUUCACAGUCAGAUAGUAAAAGGCAAGGAGAGUCAGGAUUGCCGUACUUGCCAGCGACUCACUAGUGAGAAGGCUAUCGUAGUCCAUUUUGUUGUUCAUCAGUUGUCCGUCCCUCUUCCACAAAAGAUCAAUGGUCGUCAUGUUGCAAGCACAGUGGAAUUCAUUUCAAAACCUGAGCCAAAUCGACGAGAAGAAAAAGCUAUUGAUGGUUUAGAUUCUGGAUCAUUGCCUGUGUUGAUUAAAGACAUUGCAUUGCAACGCCCUAAUCGUCCUGAUUGGCAUUCAGAUGAAACCCUUAGAAUCUUAAAAAGAGAAGCCGAGGCCCUGACAGACCUGAAUGUACCAGAAUGUACAUUACCUGCCCUGAAUUCAUCCCAAGGAGCUGCUGUCAAGAAUGCACUACAACAUACAUUCUCUCUCAUUCAAGGGCCCCCUGGCACUGGUAAAACUGUUACUGGAGCGUACCUUGCUUAUUUCUUCACUCGCCUCAAUCAACAAUUACGAGCUGGUAAAAUGCGCCCUCAGGUGUUGUACUGUGGACCAUCAAACAAAUCAGUGGAUGUUGUAGCUGCAUACCUGAAGAAGUUUCCAAACAUCUCUGUCGUGCGAGUCUACAGUGAACAGAUAGAGCGGAAGGACUUUCCCAUCCCUGGUGUUCCAGGACUGGUCUCCAAGUGGUCAAGGAAAGAAUCAUCCAUGCCAGUGGAAAUGAAAGACAUUGCUCUUCAUCACUUGAUCAGGAUGCGUGGGAAGCCACAUGCUGCUGAGCUAGCGGGCUAUGAGAGGAAAUUUCGCACUCGCCCAGAUAGUAUAAGCCCACAGAGCAUAAAAGACUACAAAAGCACCAUUUUUGAGGCCACUAAAGAAGAAUUGCAAAACCAUCACAUAGUCCUGAGUACCUGCAAUGCUGCUGGAGCACGACGUAUCUCAAGACUGACGCGUGUCAUCCAGGUGAUUGUGGAUGAAGCUGGUAUGUGCAGUGAGCCAGAGACUAUGAUCCCUCUGGUUUCAGUGAAACCUAAUCAAGUGGUAUUAGUUGGAGAUCAUCAACAGCUUAGGUCGAUAAUCACAGAACCCAAUGCCAAGCAGCUUGGAAUGGAUAUUUCUCUGCUCGAAAAAUACAAGGAUAAAGCCAAGAUGCUCACUAUUCAGUACAGAAUGCACGAGCGGAUAUGUGAAUUUCCAUCAUCUGCGUUUUAUGACAACAAACUGGAGACAGCAGAAUCGGUGAGGCGUCGCAGUCUUGACCCUAUCAGGAGGAUAUGGCCCAAUAAUGGAAAUACACCUCGAGUGUUUUGUCAUGUUAAUGGGCAAGAGGAAACCCUUUCAGUAAAGACAGAAGAAGGCAACGAACAGUCAAAGAGCAACGGUGCUGAAAUUAAACAUGUGAUGAGAAUUGUCCGAGCAUUGAUCAGCAUGAAGGUAUCACCUGCUGAGAUAAUCAUCCUGUCUCAGUAUCGUCUCCAGUGUGCGCAAAUUGAAGAGAGGCUCCAAAAAGACAGGGAUCGACGUCUUCAACAAGUCAAAGUCAGCACAGUGGUUAAAAGUCAAGGGAGUGAAUGGGACUAUGUAAUCUUCUCAACAGUUCGCUCUAAACCUCGGAUUGAGAUUGAAGAGAAGCCAAGCAGAGGGUGGCAGAGAAAACAUCUGGGUUUCAUCAAUGAUGAGAACCAGAUGAAUGUGGCUUUGACAAGAGCCAAGAGAGGUCUUAUCAUCAUAGCGAAAUUCGACCCUCUUUCCCUACCGCUCCACGACCGCUCCAACAACGCUCGGGCGGUGUGACCAGGCCUUUACCUAGGAACUGUUGCUAUACGAGAAGAGGUCAGGUUGGCACCCCCUGCUAAAAAUGGUACCCAGUACCUGCUACGAUGCCAUCAGAGAUGGAAGGAAAUGCUUAAGAAGU
rnacentral:misc_RNA from 1 species